GGAAAUCAUGUGAUAAUGAGACAACUAGCUUUUAUGUAGUUCCUGAUGUACCACUCGUCAUCUUGCCAAAAGAAUCAAACCUGAGUCUCAUCAAGCCUCCAAAUCCAGCCAUCAGUUUGCAG